UACGGGGGGGGCAAGCGUUGUUCGGAAUUACUGGGCGUAAAGGGCUGGUAGGCGGCCAACUAAGUCGGAUGUGAAAUCCCCAGGCUUAACCUGGGAACUGCAUCCGAUACUGGUCGGCUUGAAUCCGGGAGAGGGAUGCAGAAUUCCAGGUGUAGCGGUGAAAUGCGUAGAUAUCUGGAGGAAUACCGGUGGCGAAGGCGGCAUCCUGGACCAUUACUGACGCUGAGGCGCGAAAGCUAGGGGAGCAAACGGGGAU
rnacentral:rRNA from 1 species